rnacentral:rRNA from 1 species
ACUGCUAUCGGAUUGGUACUAAGCCAUGCGAGUCGUUGUAGCAAUACAAGGCAGACGGCUCAGUAACACGUAGUCAAUCUACCCUAUAGACGUGGAUAACCUCGGGAAACUGAGAAUAAUAUACGAUAGAUCAUAAUGCCUGGAAUGGUUUAUGAUUGAAAUGAUUUAUCGCUGUAGGAUGGGACUGCGGCCUAUCAGCUUGUUGGUGGGGUAAUGGCCCACCAAGGCUAUAACAGGUACGGGCUCUGAGAGGAGAAGCCCGGAGAUGGGUACUGAGACACGGACCCAGGCCCUAUGGGGCGCAGCAGGCGAGAAACCUUAGCAAUGUGCGAAAGCACGACUAGGUUAAUCCGAGUGAUUUCUGCUGAAGAAAUCUUUUGUCAGUUCUAAAAAUACCGAUGAAUAAGGGGUGGGCAAGUCUGGUGUCAGCCGCCGCGGUAAUACCAGCACCUCGAGUGGUCAGGAUGUUUAUUGGGCCUAAAGCAUCCGUAGCCGGCUUUGCAAGUCUCCGGUUAAAUCCAGCUGCCUAACAGAUGGGCUGCCGGAGAUACUACAAAGCUAGGGAGCGGGAGAGGCAGACGGUAUUCGGUGGGUAGGGGUAAAAUCCUCUGAUCCAUUGAGGACCACCAGUGGCGAAGGCGGUCUGCCAGAACGCGUUCGACGGUGAGGGAUGAAAGCUGGGGGAGCAAACCGGAUUAGAUACCCGGGUAGUCCCAGCUGUAAACGAUGCAAACUCGGUGAUGCAUUGGCUUAUGGCCAAUGCAGUGCCGCAGGGAAGCCGUUAAGUUUGCCGCCUGGGAAGUACGGUCGCAAGACUGAAACUUAAAGGAAUUGGCGGG